UUCCAGACUCCUACGGGAGGCAGCAGUGGGGAAUAUUGCACAAUGGGGGGAACCCUGAUGCAGCGACGCCGCGUGGGUGAAGGAGUACUUCGGUACGUAAAGCCCUAUCAGCAGGAAAGAAAAUGACGGUACCUGACUAAGAAGCCACGGCUAACUACGUGCCAGCAGCCGCGGUAAUACGUAGGUGGCAAGCGUUGUCCGGAUUUACUGGGUGUAAAGGGCGUGCAGCCGGGCUGACAAGUCAGAUGUGAAAUCCCGCGGCUCAACCGCGGAACUGCAUUUGAAACUGUCAGUCUUGAGUACCGGAGAGGUCAUCGGAAUUCCUUGUGUAGCGGUGAAAUGCGUAGAUAUAAGGAAGAACACCAGUGGCGAAGGCGGAUGACUGGACGGCAACUGACGGUGAGGCGCGAAAGCGUGGGGAGCAAACAGGAUUAGAUACCCUAGUAC
rnacentral:rRNA from 1 species